UCCCCGCUGGCGGGCCCGGCGCGGCCCGUGGGCAGGCGCUGGGCUCCCUCGAGCAUCGCCUGGGGGCCGCUCUGGCCGAGCACCCGCUGCACCGCCUCGUGGCGCGCUCUCCCUCAGACUUAUGGCCGCUUCCCGGCUUCUCCUCCGGGUUUAUUCCCGGCUGCAGCUGCCGCCUCGAGACACCCAUUCACACAGCAACACGCAAACCCAUUCUUGCGACUCCAGCGGACCUGAGGAACCCGCACGGAGGUCCAAGUUGCCUAUGAAUACAUUGAAAUGGCCAGAGCUGAGGAGCGAGACCCAUAGCCUGGCCUCAGGUGUUUCCUUCCAGGUAGCACCUAACAGCUUCUAGAACUGACAUGCCAUGAAAUGUACCUUGAAGACUGCUCAUCAAUUCACUCCUUCCUCAUUUUACAGAGGAGGAAAUUGAAACCCAUAUUAAGAGAGGGUGGAGAAAUCUUCCCCUUCCUGGCAGGGCUGGGAACUAGAUCCUGGCUUCCAGAAAACUGGUCCAGGCUCUUUCUCUCACCUUGAGAGAGGCAUUUAAUGGUGGUGGCUUUGAUAUAUCCCCUAGUACAUUUUCAUUGUCUGGAAUUUGAGCUUGUAUUUAUUUAUA